rnacentral:rRNA from 1 species
GCUACAAUGGCAUAUACAAAGAGAAGCGACCUCGCGAGAGCAAGCGGACCUCAUAAAGUAUGUCGUAGUCCGGAUUGGAGUCUGCAACUCGACUCCAUGAAGUCGGAAUCGCUAGUAAUCGUAGAUCAGAAUGCUACGGUGAAUACGUUCCCGGGCCUUGUACACACCGCCCGUCACACCAUGGGAGUGGGUUGCAAAAGAAGUAGGUAGCUUAACCUUCGGGAGGGCGCUUACCACUUUGUGAUUCAUGACUGGGGUGAAGUCGUAACAAGGUAACCGUAGGGGAACCUGCGGUUGGAUCACCUCCUU